GAAGGUGCAUGGCCCAGCCUCAGAGGCACAGCCUAGCUCUGACUGGCUGCUUGGGGUUUGGGAAUUAGGCAGGGAAGAGGGUGGUCACCUCAAUUGCCACUGCUUCCCUGUCACCAAAUGUCUUCAUCUGUGGGGAACCCUGUGGGUGAGAUGUCAUAGCUCCAUGGGCUGCAUUUGGCCCACGGGCUGGAGGUUGAGUGCUCCUGGUAUACUGCCUACCAAAAUGGGAUCCUGGUCUUCUAGGUACUAUGGUUUUAUUAUGAUUUAUCUCUUUGUAUCAUAACAGUUCAGUCAAAAGCGUCAAGCAACUGUAUGGAAAUGAGAAUUGAAAACCAACUAUUAAAAUUCUGCCGAGUGUUCUCAUUUUCACAAGCCAAUGCUGUAUCAACAAAAAUCAAGUGAGGCAGAAGUCUAGGAAAGGUGAUGUGCUUUGUUGUGCUCUGAAGGUUAUGCUAAUGAAUCAUGGAGAAAGUAUGACUAAGAGCUGAGGGACUUCCCUGAGCAUCAUGUCUUGAGCCCCUUACUGGCUUUUCAUGUUCAACUUCUGGAGAGAAUUAAGUGGUCAGCCUAGAGCAGUCUGUGUACAAAAAUGGUUGUCUGGAUGGACUUACUCAGCCUUUGUCAUACAGCUGUGCAAGAGACGGGAUUGUAUGUAACCUGGGACUCUCAUUCACUGAACUGUGCAUCAGAGCAUUGAGAUCUGCACUUCCAUUCUUAAAUUUAAGAUUAUCUUAAUGUGCCCUGCUUUAGGAACAUCCAAAGCACCUUCUGAGCAGAGUAAAGUAGCUGUGGCAGAGUGCCACACUAACAUGACUAUGCUGUUUCCAGUAACUAAGCUAGCUCAUUUUAGAACUAGCAUUAUACAGUGUAGAUUGGUGUUUCUCAAACUGGCUGCCAUGAGAUCCUUUCUAAAGGUGUUGUCUGCUGCCUAGUGGAACUGCCCCAUCUCACCUCUGUUUCUGGGAGAUGCUGUGUGGGGCUAGGCUGGGAAGUGGCUGUGGCAGAAGGGGGCGCCCCACUGCAGCCCAGCCUGAUGGGAGGGGCUACCGCUAAAGUCCCGGCUGGUAAUGAAGAUAGGAUUCAGGAAGUUCCAUUCCCCUCCCCCCCGCACUUCCCAGUGUUGAGGGGCAUCUCCUGGACUUUACACGGAAAGGCAAAGACAGAGGGGCUUGCCUUUUUUGUGUGGGGAAAAGGAGGAGCUCCCUCUACCUGCAUCUGCAGAGAAUGCUGCUAAACUCAGAGAAGUGAGAGAGGGGAGCCUUGAGUGUAAAAAAGUUGAGAACUCCUGGUGCAGAUUCUAUAUCCAGGCCUUUUGAUAGUGCCGUGUGCUACUAUUCAUGAAACUUAUAAAGCAGUUUUGAGGUCUCCUGUUCUCUAUACCCCACCUGAACUUGAGCAUGUUGUAGAGCAGGGGUGAGCAAUUAUUUUGGACAGAGGGCCUCUUACUGAGUUUCAGCAAGCCAUCGAGGGCCGCAUGACAGGCAGCCCAGGGCAGAUUAAUAUUAAUUUUCUAAAUUUUUUAGGGGCCCCGUGGGCCAGAUAGAAUAGUCUGGUGGGCUGCAUCCAGCCCCCGGUCCGCAUUUGCCCACCCCUGUUGUAGAGUAUAUGAUUCCUUCAGUUUCAAGGAGCAUUGGAAAGAUUUUUGGCAUUUCUUUCUUGAAAGCUCAGUAUAUAAGGUCAUAAAGGGAAAUUUUCCUUGUUAGUUAUAUUGGAGAAAGGGUGCAGUGGGGUGCUGAAUGCAGAUGUCAAUGAAAGGUGAUAAACAUCUCUGUACAGUAUUCAGCUGUCUAGACUUGUUACUUCCUAUAUGGAAGAUUUUUGUAGUGUACAGUAUACUCUUACCGAAAAAGUAAUUAUUGUCCACUUAAAACUUGUAGUAUUUUUUUUUUGCCUACUUGUUUUUAACCCAAUUUAAAAGUUAAGUAACCUAGUUCUGGAAGCUUGUGUGUAUGUUUAGGCUUGUGUUUGUUUGUUUUUGGGUUUUAUGAUUUACUUAUUUAUUUUAAACCAAGCUCACUUACAGGCUUAGAAAGUGUAUCAAAUGUAUCAAAAUGUACCUCUUUUUUGCUGCUGUGAAUUAUCAUAGCUUGACUGCUUAAUGUCGCAUGUGGAGAGAGUAUGGUAUAUUAGUAGGUGCACUUAUCUGUAUUGCUGAAUAAUUCUUAGUCUUUUGUACCUUGCCUGCUCAGUAUAUUACCAUGUGGUUUUAACGGAGUAGUUUUUAAUUUUUUGACCUCAGGAGGAAAAUUCUUCCUCCUUAUGGAGUAAUUUGUAAUAUUAAUCUUGAAUACGUUUGCUUCUAAAUAAAGUGUGUA